rnacentral:rRNA from 1 species
GUAGGUGGCAAGCGUUGUCCGGAAUUAUUGGGGCGUAAAGCGCGCGCAGGCGGUCCUUUAAGUCUGAUGUGAAAGCCCACGGGCUCAGCCGUGGAGGGUCAUUGGAAACUGGGGGACUUGAGUACAGAAGAGGAAAGCGGAAUUCCACGUGUAGCGGUGAAAUGCGUAGAGAUGCGGAGGAACACCAGUGGCGAAGGCGGCUUUCUGGUCUGUAACUGACGCUGAGGCGCGAAAGCGUGGGGAGCAAACAGGAUUAGAUACCCUGGUAGUCCACGCCGUAAACGAUGAGUGCUAAGUGUUAGGGGGUUUCCGCCCCUUAGUGCUGCAGCUAACGCAUUAAGCACUCCGCAUGGGGAGUACGGCCGCAAAGGCUG